UUAAAUAGUAGAGCAGCCAAGCCUUGUUGGAAGCCCGGACUUUAAAAGGGAGUGAAGUCAAAGCUUCCACCGAUCCCUCCUUCGUUCCUUUGCCUUUGAUUGGAAACAAGCGAGGUUUUUUUUUUUAAAACAUCCGGAUGGGAAGCCCCGGACGCUUGGAUUGGUGGAAGCCCGGCGGGGCCGGAAGCUGCGACGAAAAUAAAGGGGGAGGAAUGGAACUUGAUUGGUUUGUUGGUUUUUCGUGAAAACGGAAAGGGGCGGGGUGAAACUAGGGAACAGCGGUGACGAACGAAGACGUCGCACUCCUGAUGCGCAUGCGUUUUUGGCGGGGGGGGGAGGGUAUUUUCCUUUACCGUCCUCUUCGCCGGCGCCAUUUUAUGCGCCGCUCAGUCACGUCUUAAAACUGAGGGGAAGGGAGGGGACCGGAAAAAGGAGGUAAGACUACUGCGUGAAAGCUGCCUAAGCUGUGUGGCCACGAAGCCUCUUUGAGAGUCGGCACGGUGAGCUCCGGUAAGGGAGGCCCUGGGAUCUUCGCUUUCAGGUGGAAAACAUCGGACUUCCGCGAUGGCAGCAACGAGGGAGGAGGCAAAGAUUGUGACGACCAUGACAGAGAAAACUGAUGUAGUUCAAAAUACUUACAUAUGAAACUCCUGAUGGAUCUAUCAUAUACAGCUGAGCACCAUCAUCAUCAUCAUAGGAACCUAACAUGAAGCUGGAAAAUCAAGAUUUCUUAUUAGAAACUAUUAGGGAGAAUUGUAGCACAAUCUUCAAUAAGUUAUAGAAAAGCAAAGUUUGCAUCAUUCAUAGUUGUUUCACUGAAGGAAUUGCUAUAAAUUAUAGUCUGGGAUUAAGCAGAACUGUAUCUCUUGGCAUAGAAUAAAAGUUGUAGUUUCCUAAGAGUAAUAUAUUCAUAACAAUUAACCAAUCACUUAUAUUAUCCUUCCAAAUUAAAAGGAGAAUUUAGUCACACCCCUGAACUGGAUAGUGGCAGAAUACUACAAGGACCAUAUGUACAAUUUGGUACAUUACUUCUUAAAAAAAAUUAUCUACAUUUAUUCAUAGUCAGGUUUUUCUGCUUUAAAUAUGACCUCUUUUUAACAACAUGAAUAUGAACUGCUUAAUGGCUAAAAGAAAGGUAGUGUUUUUAUUUAUUAUUGUGAGGCACCUGGGAUUGUUCUAUGAGAUAGGGUUAAAUAAGGAGUAUGUUGAGAACAUAUUGGUUGAAAGUAUGCGGAAGAGGCCUUCAUCCUGAAGAUAGACAAUGGUGAGGCUGAGAACCAAGAAACAACCUUGGAAAAGGCAAACCAUAAUGAUCUAGACAGAAUGGAGCAUUUGGAAAUGGAGUUAUUCUGCACUUCUUCAACAAGGUUCGCCUAUUUAGCUAUGAAAUAUACUCUUGCUAUGAUCUAGGAUUUGUGAAUCAAAUAAAUUGUGGUUUAUUCAAUAAAUCUUAUUUGAGCAAAUUUUAUAUUACGUGUUAACCUGGUUACUGAGUACUUAGUAACAUUCUUGAAGGUUUGAUUUUUAAAAUACCAUUUUGAGUGUCUUUUUACAGACAGAAUUUUUUUUUACUGAAAUAGGAAUCUAUAAUUUCUCUCAAUAAAAAUCUACCUGGGUGAAUUGGGAAUGUACUAUUUAUAUAAUAAAUUCUCCACUGGUA